rnacentral:rRNA from 1 species
GACGAAGGGGCUAGCGUUGUUCGGAAUUAUGCGUGGGCGUAAAGCGAGUGUAGGCGGUUGCCCAAGUCAAGGUGUGGAAAGCCCUUGAGCUCAACUCAAGAAAUGCACUUGGUACUGGGUGGCUAGAGGACCGGAGAGGAUAGUGGAAUUCCCAGUGUAGUGGUGAAAUACGUAGAGAUUGGGAAGAACACCAGUGGCGAAGGCGG